UACGUAGGGUCCGAGCGUUGUCCGGAUUUAUUGGGCGUAAAGAGCGUGUAGGCGGCCAUGUAGGUCCGUUGUGAAAACUCGAGGCUCAACCUCGAGACGCCGAUGGAAACCAUGUGGCUAGAGUCCGGAAGAGGAGAGUGGAAUUCCUGGUGUAGCGGUGAAAUGCGCAGAUAUCAGGAAGAACACCCGUGGCUAAGGCGGCUCUCUAGUACGGUACUGACGCUGAGACGCGAAAGCGUGGGGAGCAAACAGG
rnacentral:rRNA from 1 species